ACAGUUUUCCUCUCAAAAUCCCUAAUUAAUAAUCAUCAAACACAUCGGUCUCCCUCUCUCUGAAAUCCUGAAAAUACAUCGCUAAGUCUCUACUCCUAAUCCCCCUAUGUUCUACGCAUAGUCUUUACUCCUAAUCCCCUCUCUUCAAAUUGUUUUUCGAUUGAGUUGGUAUCAUAUCUGGAAAUGGCCUCGACAAACAAAACAGAUAUAAGCCUCGACAAACAAAACAGAUAUAAGCCAAGCAACAGAAACAACUGUGAGGGGCGAGAGUGGAGUGUAGGUAUAAUCUGAGGGCAAGACUAUAUACAUCAUAGAGUUCUCGUAAUCCAAGGAGGCGUUUCUUUUGCUAUUCCCAUUUGAAGAGUUUCUCAUGUGAGAAGGAAGUAAUGACAUUUUUUAUAAGCCAAAGGCAUUCACUGAAGCAGCAAGUAAAGUUGAUGGAUAAGAAGGAUGAGUUGAAUGUAGCGAAGAGAGCAAAGUUGGAGCAGAAGUGUAAAAGGAGAAAAGAUGAAUUGGUAUGCUUUAAAGCAUAAAACCAAGCCUUGUAGACUGAGAUUAGUUCAAUGAAGAUUGAUAAGGCUAAGCUGAAUUAUAGGGAGAAGUUGUAUAUGAUGUGUAUUGUUUGUUUGCAAGUAAUGUGAUUGUAAUUUUUAAGUAGCUACUCUACUUUUAGGCAAACACAUUAGCUCCUAAAACACUUAUACUCAUCAUAAUGAGUUUUAAUAAUAAAAGUCUUCUCCCUUUAUAGUUCA